UACGUAGGGUGCAAGCGUUAAUCGGAAUUACUGGGCGUAAAGCGUGCGCAGGCGGUGAUGUAAGACAGUUGUGAAAUCCCCCGGGCUCAACCUGGGGAACUGCAUCUGUGACUGCAUCGCUGGAGUGCGGCAGAGGGGGAUGGAAUUCCGCGUGUAGCAGUGAAAUGCGUAGAUAUGCGGAGGAACACCGAUGGCGAAGGCAAUCCCCUGGGCCUGCACUGACGCUCAUGCACGAAAGCGUGGGGAGCAAACAGG
rnacentral:rRNA from 1 species